UGUUUUGAAAGUGUAAACAUGGAGGAUGAUUUCAAGACUUUCUGCUAUCGAAUACAGUUUGCCCCGUGAUCAAUUUGAUAGAGUAUUAACGUUUAUUAAUACCUAAAGUUGGUUUAGAAAAGUAGUUUGAAGUGAUUUGUAAAAGUUUAUAGGCAACUUUUGUAAUUUUAAAACGUGACGUUGCGGCUUGUAAAUGGGAAUUUUCCUGAAUCAGACCAGACUUCAUGAAAUGACAUUUUGGGUAUACAAUGACGGAUUUAAUCGGGAAAAAGACCCAAUUGUGAUGUUUAUGGGACAUAUAGGAGUGCCAACAGAGAAGUUCGUCAAAGAUCUCCAGGCUCAAAGCGUCAGUCCACCAGCUGAAUACUCAGUCAGACUGGUGAAUGGGACCACUUCCUGUUCUGGGACAGUGGAAGUCUUCUACAGAGGAGAGUGGUUGGGUGUAUGUUCUGGGUUGUGGAGAAUGAUGAGAGAGGUUAAGGUUGUGUGUAGACAGCUGGACUGUGGGAAUCCUGUAUCUGAAUCUGGAGGACCUAUUAUUGAAGAUGGAAGAAGAGGAGUCAGACUAUAUAGUAGUUGCUAUGGAGAUGAGUCUUCUAUUAGACAGUGUGUCAUCAUAGGAGGACCUGGUGUCUGUGAUGGUGAAUAUUAUCGUCAUGUGACCUGUUCAGGUAAGAGACUGGUCACAUUGACAGAUUUAUUUAUACAUUAUACAAUAUUACCAUGUAUUGUGUUUUA